rnacentral:rRNA from 1 species
CAGUCGCCGCGGUAAUACGGAGGGGGCUAGCGUUGUUCGGAAUUACUGGGCGUAAAGCGCACGUAGGCGGCUUGGUAAGUUAGGGGUGAAAGCCUGGAGCUCAACUCCAGAAUUGCCUUUAAGACUGCCGAGCUAGCAGGUGAGAGAGGUAAGUGGAAUUCCGAGUGUAGCAGUGAAAUGCGUAGAGAUGUGGAGGAACACCGAUGGCGAAGGCAGCCCCCUGGGCCAAUACUGACGCUCAUGCACGAAAGCGUGGGGAGCAAACAGGAUUAGAUACCCCCGUAGUCCCUGUCUCUUAUAC